GGAGAGGUCGCAUAGUCCGGUCUAGUGCGCUGCACUCGAAAUGCAGUAUUCGCGUAAGCGAAUCGAGAGUUCGAAUCUCUCCCUCUCCG
rnacentral:tRNA from 1 species